UACGUAGGGGGCUAGCGUUGUCCGGAAUCAUUGGGCGUAAAGAGCGUGUAGGCGGCCCGGUAAGUCCGCUGUGAAAGUCGGGGGCUCAACCCUCGAAUGCCGGUGGAUACUGUCGGGCUAGAGUGCGGAAGAGGCGAGUGGAAUUCCUGGUGUAGCGGUGAAAUGACGCAGAUAUCAGGAGGAACACCGAUUGCGAAGGCAGCUCGCUGGGACGUAACUGACGCUGAGGAGCGAAAGCGUGGGGAGCAAACAGG
rnacentral:rRNA from 1 species